GACGAACGCUGGCGGCGUGCUUAACACAUGCAAGUCGAACGGAGUGGCGAACGGGUGAGUAACACGUGGGUGAUCUGCCUUGCACUUCGGGAUAAGCUUGGGAAACUGGGUCUAAUACCGGCAAGUGCAAGAUGAGCUCGCGGCCUGGCGGCUUGUUGGUGGGGUAAUGGCCUACCAAGGCGUCGACGGGUAGCCGGCCUGAGAGUGUGUACGGGCACAGUGGGACUGAGGUACGGGCCAGACUCCUACGGGAGGCAGCAGAGGGGAAUAUUGCACAAUGCGCGGAAGCCUGAUGCAGCAACGCGGCGUGGGGGGUGAAGGCCUUCGGGUUGUAAACUCCUUUCGACAGGGACGCGGUACCAGUUGAAGAAGCACCGGCUAACUACGUGCCAGCAGCCGCGGUAAUUC
rnacentral:rRNA from 1 species